rnacentral:rRNA from 1 species
GGUGGCCCCGCCCGCCUACGGGAGGCAGCAGUGGGGAAUAUUGCACAAUGGGGGAAACCCUGAUGCAGCCAUGCCGCGUGUGUGAAGAAGGCCUUCGGGUUGUAAAGCACUUUCAGUUGUGAGGAAAGUUUAGUAGUUAAUACCUGCUAGAUGUGACGUUAGCAACAGAAGAAGCACCGGCUAACUCCGUGCCAGCAGCCGCGGUAAUACGGAGGGUGCGAGCGUUAAUCGGAAUUACUGGGCGUAAAGCGCACGCAGGCGGUCUGUUAAGCUAGAUGUGAAAGCCCCGCGCUCAACGUGGGAGGGUCAUUUAGAACUGGCAGACUAGAGUCUUGGAGAGGGGAGUGGAAUUCCAGGUGUAGCGGUGAAAUGCGUAGAGAUCUGGAGGAACAUCAAUGGCGAAGGCAACUCCCUGGCCAAAGACUGACGCUCAUGUGCGAAAGUGUGGGUAGCGAACAGGAUUAGAUACCCUGGUAGUCCACACCGUAAACGCUGUCUACUAGCUGUUUGUGAAUUUAAUUCGUGAGUAGCGAAGCUAACGCGAUAAGUAGACCGCCU